UCGAAAUAAAGAAUAAAGAAGAUUUAUAUUUGUUUACUAUUUCAAUCCUUUGCCAUCCGUCUAUAUUUUUAAACAUUGCUGUUUUAAAAGAGCGAAAUAAACGGGCCUGUCUUUAUUUUUUUCUAAAUCUGCAAUUCUUUUCCAAAUCUGUAAAUUAUGGCCGACGAAGAUUCGAACUCCAGGAGUCGUGAAAACAGCAUCUCAGAGUCUCCAGGCCUAGAUGGGGAAUUUAGUUGGCCUAAGUCAUUAGAACGGUUAGAUUCGUCAAGCAACGACGGUGUGUUAGGUUUAGAAACAAGUUUAGAUCCAAGUCUCGAUGUUUUGGAUGUCUCCGGAGAUCAUGGAAACGACGUUGAUGACCCGGAACUUGAAGCAAUCAAAGCUAGAGUGAAGGAAAUGGAGGAAGAAGCUGAAAAACUGAAAGAUAUGCAGAAAGAAAUUGAAGGAUCUUUGAAUCUAAGCGCCAGCCCAACUACAGCAGCACUUCCAACUCUCGAAGAAAAACAAGAGGUUGAUGCAAGAUCAGUUUAUGUUGGAAAUGUAGAUUAUUCUGCAACUGCUGAAGAACUUGAACAACAUUUCCACGGAUGUGGAUCAGUAAACAGAGUAACGAUACUAUGUGAUAAAUACACUGGACAUCCAAAGGGUUUUGCCUACGUUGAAUUUGCCGACAAAGAAAGCGUGAACAAUUCCACUGCUUUAACAGACUCGCUUUUUAAAGGUCGACAGAUCAAGGUUGUACCAAAAAGGACCAACCAACCAGGCAUCAGCUCAACAGACCGUGGAUUCUCCAGAGGCCGGGGACGUGGUAGAUCUCGUGGUUUUCAUAGUCCUGGGUACUAUCCAGGUUACAGACCAAGGAUUCGAGGACGUGGAAUGUAUAGGCCUCGACGAAGAGGAUGGUAUCCUUACUGAAUGGACAACAAAGUUAUUUAUUUGGAUGCCACUGUUGCCCUUCUGUGGAUUUUUGAGGUUGUAACAAAGGAAAGUGAUGAAAAAAGGAAAAAAUAGAU
rnacentral:misc_RNA from 1 species